UGGUGCGAUCAUACCAGCACUAAUGCACCGGAUCCCAUCAGAACGCCGUAGUUUAAGUGUGCUUGGGCGAGAGUAGUACUAGGAUGGGUGACUUGGUGAGAAGUCCUCGUGUUGCACCCC
rnacentral:rRNA from 1 species